rnacentral:lncRNA from 1 species
CACCGCCACGGAUGUCAAGGUGAGGAGAAAACGCUGCCGUUUCGGAAUGGUCCGAUCACCGUUUUGGCGGAUUUGUAUUAUUUCGAACUUGAAAGAGGCUUGGAUCUAGCAUUGAAGUUGUAAAUACUUUUUUUUUUCACAAUAUUUUCACAAAAGUGUUGCAUUAAAUUUUCACGAUAACUUUAAUAUUUUUUUUCUUACUAAAAAGAUGGAUUUUUUUUAUAUAAAUAAGAUUGUAUUACGAGGAGUAUAAAGGGUAAUAAAGGAA